AUACCUUUCUCGGCCUUUUGGCUAAGAUCAAGUGUAGUAUCUGUUCUUAUCAGUUUAAUAUCUGAUACGUGGGUCAUCGACUCACACGAUAUUAAAUUAAUUUUUAAGGGUGAUGGUUCGCCAGGGUAGCUUGCUACCGGAACCUUCGAGCGUCGCCCAUGCGUAGCACUACUGCACGGGCCUGGCGCAACCCUA
rfam:Vitis vinifera, whole genome shotgun sequence of line PN40024, unoriented chromosome 17, chr17